rnacentral:rRNA from 1 species
AAUAUUGCACAAUGGGCGCAAGCCUGAUGCAGCCAUGCCGCGUGUGUGAAGAAGGCCUUCGGGUUGUAAAGCACUUUCAGCGGGGAGGAAGGCGGUGAGGUUAAUAACCUCACCGAUUGACGUUACCCGCAGAAGAAGCACCGGCUAACUCCGUGCCAGCAGCCGCGGUAAUACGGAGGGUGCAAGCGUUAAUCGGAAUUACUGGGCGUAAA